AGAUUGAACGCUGGCGGCAGGCCUAACACAUGCAAGUCGAGCGGCAGCACGGGUACUUGUACCUGGUGGCGAGCGGCGGACGGGUGAGUAAUGCCUAGGAAUCUGCCUAGUGGUGGGGGAUAACGUUCGGAAACGGACGCUAAUACCGCAUACGUCCUACGGGAGAAAGCGGGGGACCUUCGGGCCUCGCGCCAUUAGAUGAGCCUAGGUCGGAUUAGCUAGUUGGUGAGGUAAUGGCUCACCAAGGCGACGAUCCGUAACUGGUCUGAGAGGAUGAUCAGUCACACUGGAACUGAGACACGGUCCAGACUCCUACGGGAGCAGCAGUGGGGAAUAGUUGGACAAUGGGACGAAAGCCUG
rnacentral:rRNA from 1 species